rnacentral:rRNA from 1 species
AGCGAACGCUGGCGGCAGGCUUAACACAUGCAAGUCGAGCGGGCACUUUCGGGUGUUAGCGGCGGACGGGUGAGUAACGCGUGGGAACGUGCCCUCUGGUUCGGAAUAACUCAGGGAAACUUGAGCUAAUACCGGAUACGCCCUUUUGGGGAAAGGCUUGCUGCCGGAGGAUCGGCCCGCGUCUGAUUAGCUAGUUGGUGAGGUAACGGCUCACCAAGGCGACGAUCAGUAGCUGGUCUGAGCGGAUGAUCAGCCACACUGGGACUGAGACACGGCCCAGACUCCUACGGGAGGGAGCAGUGGGGAAUAUUGGACAAUGGGCGCAAGCCUGAUCCAGCCAUGCCGCGUGAGUGAUGAAGGCCUUAGGGUUGUAAAGCUCUUUUAUCCGGGACGAUAAUGACGGUACCGGAGGAAUAAGCCCCGGCUAACUACGUG